UCUCCUGACCUCGUGAUCUACCUGCCUUGACCUCCCAAAGUGCAGGGAUUACAGGCGUGAGCCACUGCUCAAGACAUCUUUCACAUAGCCGAAGUAACAUCAUCCUAUGCAAACGAUCAACCAUACUUCCCUAGUAUUAUCUACUAUCCUGCCAUACGCAGAUUUCCCCAAUGGUCCCCAAAAUGUCCAUUACAGUUGGUUUUUGGCCCUGAAGCAGCAUCUAACCACACCCGUGCCUGCAUUGGUUGUUUUGCCUUUUCAGAGUCUCCAAAUGUGGCAUCCUCCACUUGUUCCUUUUUAUUGUCCUUUUUUUUCAGUGACACCAGCUAUUGUUGGCAUUUGCUUACCCCAGGAAGAGGUCCAAGGCACAGUCCUCUGUGCUCCCAAGCACCCUAGGUGUCCCUGCUCUCUGCUCUCGAGCCCUCUGACCACCACAGGCCCCAGCAGCUCCAUCUGUGGCCCCUCACCUACCCCUGCCACCUUGCCCUGCUGUGUCCAUAACACCCUCUGAAUGAUUUCCCUUUAACAGCAGUCCGAGAGUUUGGCCUUGAAACCUGGAAGAGGCUGCAGGGUAACGCCUGACCUCCUCAGCUGGGGUCCAAGCUGUCACCCCUCUCUGGCCUUGCCUCUCUGUCUCAUCUCAUCCCCUAAAUGCCCCCUUCGUUUCCAGGUAACUCAGCCACACAGAACUUCCCUGACACAAGCUCUUUCAUGACUCUGUAUGUUGACAUACGCAGCUCCCUUUUCUGGGACACUCUUCCUGUCCUGUUGUUCUCACCAGAGCUGCAUCUGUGCUUUGUCACCCAGUUAUCAAUCAGGCCUCUUUCCCCCAUACAAUGCGGCCUAUGUCCCUAUAGAACAUCACAUUACACUGAAUUUGUUCUUUACAAGUGCAUCUCCCUGCGGAUGGAGCUCCAUGAGCAGUUGUUCAGAUGUUCUUAUAAGCAGUGCUGCAGUCAACAUUCUUCGACGGUCUCCUUGGACUGGCUCCCAGGACUCCAGUGUUGGAGUCUGACUACACAAAGGAGUGGAGGAACUGGAGACCUGCCCACCCCCUUCAUGUUCCAACGUGAUGCCAGGGGACCUGGCUCUGGGAUCUGCUGUGCAUCUCACCACUGUAUGAGGGUGCCCAUUUCUCCAUGACAGAUCCAAACUCCCUGUUCUGAAUCAGUUCAGCACUUCGUGCAGAUGAAAGAAGCUAGAGCCAUGGUGAGACUGAAAAUUGCUUGGGCAACAAGUAAUAUUUCUGUUCAACUGGACCCGAAGGGCAGGUUGGGAGGUCAGCAGAACCGCAGCCCAGGGUGCCAGCUGAGGUGGGGCUGUAGAGGGCCUGAACACUCAGCCAGAGGGAGAUCCAGCCUUCCGAGCCGUAUGCCCACGUGUGGCAGCUUGCCCCUGCUGGGAGGUAAUGAUACCCGGAUUCUGCCUUUUACUCAGUGAAGGAAGCCUGUUUCUGAGUAGAGACGAUUGUUCUUUAUAAGCUGCGAAAACAUUAGUUCUCUAAUGAGCUGGAACCAACGACAGCCCAAUGAACUUCACAUAAAGGAUCUACUCCAUGGAAAUGGGCAGCUUACCUCUGAACAACUGGGAGAACCUCAGUGGUUUUGCAAAAUAUACACUUUAUGAAGCACAGGACCUCAGAGCUGUUGAUAAAGCAAGAGAACUAGGUGAGAGCUGGAUCAAGCCCCAGAGCUGUCAUUCACCGUUUUGGGACCUGGAGCCUGAGCCUCUACUUCUUCAACUGCAAAAUAGGCAUGAAUAACAUGUCUAGAAGGACUGCCAGAAAAAUGAAAUGACAACAUUUGCAAAACACGCAGUGGGGCUGGCACAGUGGAAGAGCCUAAUAAACCUGCUAAAUCCCCCUUUCCCCUGACGUGUGUGUGUGAGAGAGUGUGUGUGUGUGAGUGUGCACCCCCUGUUCGUUUCAAGUCCUGCCGUCCCUGGCUCAGGGCCUGGUUUUGGCGUUCCCCUUCCCCAGCUCAGGCUUCCAGACCAGUGGGCUCACUGGCUCGGUUUGGCCCAGGAUCAAGACCCUGCCUCCAGCUGUAACCUGAGCAUUGUCUGGAAUGCAGGACAAUACAUCAGGGCCAUGUGAAUGGAACUAAUCCUCUUUAUGUUGGCAGUAUCUCAUUGGAAAAAAAUAGUGGGAGUGGGUGGGGAAAAUCAGGAGACCCAACCCACUGCUGUCUCUCAGCAGCUUCUGUAUGAAGAACCUUGGCUGCUCAUAAG